GUAGGGAAUAUUGCACAAUGGAGGAAACUCUGAUGCAGCGACGCCGCGUGAGUGAUGAAGGCCUUCGGGUCGUAAAGCUCUGUCGCAGGGGAAUAACACAAUGAAGGUACCCUGUAAGAAAGGAUCGGCUAACUUCGUGCCAGCAGCCGCGGUAAGACGAGGGAUCCUAGCGUUGUUCGGAAUCAUUGGGCGUAAAGCGGAUGUAGGUGGCUAUGUAAGUCAGAUGUGAAAGCCUGGGGCUCAACCCCAGAAGUGCAUUUGAUACUGCGUAGCUUGAGUGUCGGAGAGGUUACUAGAAUUGUUGGUGUAGUGGUGAAAUACGUAGAUAUCAACAGGAAUACCGGAGGCGAAGGCGGGUAACUGGCCGAACACUGACACUGAGAUCCGAAAGCGUGGGGAGCAAACAGGAUUAGAUACCCGAGUAGUCC
rnacentral:rRNA from 1 species